AAUAUAUCGGAACGUACCCAAGAGUGGGGGAUAACGUAGCGAAAGUUACGCUAAUACCGCAUACGAUCCAAGGAUGAAAGCAGGGGACCGCAAGGCCUUGUGCUCCUGGAGCGGCCGAUAUCUGAUUAGCUAGUUGGUGAGGUAAAGGCUCACCAAGGCGACGAUCAGUAGCUGGUCUGAGAGGACGACCAGCCACACUGGAACUGAGACACGGUCCAGACUCCUACGGGAGGCAGCAGUGGGGAAUUUUGGACAAUGGGCGCAAGCCUGAUCCAGCAAUGCCGCGUGAGUGAUGAAGGCCCUAGGGUUGUAAAGCUCUUUCACCGGUGAAGAUAAUGACGGUAACCGGAGAAGAAGCCCCGGCUAACUUCGUGCCAGCAGCCGCGGUAAUACGUAGGGUGCGAGCGUUAAUCGGAAUUACUGGGCGUAAAGCGUGCGCAGGCGGUUUUGUAAGACAGGCGUGAAAUCCCCGAGCUCAACUUGGGAAUGGCGCUUGUGACUGCAAGGCUAGAGUAUGUCAGAGGGGGGUAGAAUUCCACGUGUAGCAGUGAAAUGCGCAGAUAUCAGGAGG
rnacentral:rRNA from 1 species